rnacentral:rRNA from 1 species
AACUUAGAGAAGGAUUGGUGCUUCGGGAACUCGAACACAGGUGCUGCAUGGCUGUAAAAAAAGUGUCGUGAGAUGUUGGGUUAAGUCCCGCAACGAGCGCAACCCUUGUCCUUAGUUGCCAGCACGUAAUGGUGGGAACUCUAAGGAGACCGCCGGUGACAAACCGGAGGAAGGUGGGGAUGACGUCAAGUCAUCAUGGCCCUUACGGCCAGGGCUACACACGUACUACAAUGGUAGGGACAGAGGGCUGCAGGCCGGAAACGGUAAG